CCUACGGGGAGCUGCAGUGGGGAAUAUUGGACAAUGGGCGAAAGCCUGAUCCAGCCAUGCCGCGUGUGUGAAGAAGGCCUUCGGGGUGUAAAGCACUUUCAGUGGGGAAGAAAGCCUUGGGGCUAAUACCCUCGAGGAAGGACAUCACCCACAGAAGAAGCACCGGCUAACUCCGUGCCAGCAGCCGCGGUAAUACGGAGGGUGCGAGCGUUAAUCGGAAUUACUGGGCGUAAAGCGCGCGUAGGCGGUCUGAUAAGCCGGUUGUGAAAGCCCCGGGCUCAACCUGGGAACGGCAUCCGGAACUGUCAGGCUUGAGUGCAGGAGAGGAAGGCAGAAUUCGUGGUGUAGCGGUGAAAUGCGUAGAGAUCGGGAGGAAUACCAGUGGCGAAGGCGGCCUUCUGGACUGACACUGACGCUGAGGUGCGAAAGCGUGGGUAGCAAACAGGAUUAGAUACCCCUGUAGUC
rnacentral:rRNA from 1 species